rnacentral:rRNA from 1 species
ACUCCUACGGGAGGCAGCAGUAGGGAAUAUUGCACAAUGGGCGAAAGCCUGAUGCAGCAACGCCGCGUGCGCGAAGAAGGCCUUCGGGUUGUAAAGCGCUUUUCGGGGAGAAGAGAAAGGACGGUAUCCCCGGAAUAAGGAUCGGCUAACUACGUGCCAGCAGCCGCGGUAAAACGUAGGAUCCGAGCGUUAUCCGAAUUCACUGGGCGUAAAGCGCGUGUAGGCGGUUCGGUAAGUUGGAUGUGAAAGCUCCCGGCUCAACUGGGAGAGGACGUUCAAAACUGUUGGACUAGAGGGCGGAAGAGGGAGGUGGAAUUCCCGGUGUAGUGGUGAAAUGCGUAGAUAUCGGGAGGAACACCAGUGGCGAAGGCGGCCUCCUGGGCCGCACCUGACGCUCAGACGCGAAAGCUAGGGUAGCAAACGGGAUUAGAAACCCCGGUAGUCCUAGCCGUAAACGAUGUAGACUUGGUGUUGGUGGGGUAAAAGCCAUCAGUGCCGGAGCAAACGCGAUAAGUCUACCGCCUGGGGACUACGACCGCAAGGUUAAAACUCAAAGGAAUUGACGGGGACCCGCACAAGCAGCGGAGCGUGUGGUUUAAUUCGAUGCAACGCGAAGAACCUUACCCGGGCUUGACAUGCGAGUGGUAGGGAAGUGAAAGCGGACCGACCCUUCGGGGAGUUCGCACAGGUGCUGCAUGGCUGUCGUCAGCUCGUGCCGUGAGGUGUCCGGUUAAGUCCGGUAACGAGCGCAACCCUUGCUGUAUGUUACAAGUGUCAUACGGGACUGCCGGUAUAAAGCCGGAGGAAGGUGGGGAUGACGUCAAGUCAGCAUGGCCUUUAUGUCCGGGGCUACACACACGCUACAAUGGUCAGUACAAUAGGU